AGUGGCGGACGGGUGAGUAACGCGUAAGAAUCUAACUUCAGGACGGGGACGACAGUUGGAAACGACUGCUAAUACCCGAUGUGCCGCGAGGUGAAACCUAAUUGGCCUGAAGAAGAGCUUGCGUCUGAUUAGCUAGUUGGUGGGGUAAAGGCCUACCAAGGCGACGAUCAGUAGCUGGUCUGAGAGGAUGAGCAGCCACACUGGGACUGAGACACGGCCCAGACUCCUACGGGAGGCAGCAGUGGGGAAUUUUCCGCAAUGGGCGAAAGCCUGACGGAGCAACGCCGCGUGAGGGAGGAAGGUCUUUGGAUUGUAAACCUCUUUUCUCAAGGAAGAAGUUCUGACGGUACUUGAGGAAUCAGCCUCGGCUAACUCCGUGCCAGCAGCCGCGGUAAUACGGGGGAGGCAAGCGUUAUCCGGAAUUAUUGGGCGUAAAGCGUCCGCAGGUGGUCAGCCAAGUCUGCUGUCAAAUCAGGUUGCUUAACGACCUAAAGGCGGUGGAAACUGGCAGACUAGAGAGCAGUAGGGGUAGCAGGAAUUCCCAGUGUAGCGGUGAAAUGCGUAGAGAUUGGGAAGAACAUCGGUGGCGAAAGCGUGCUACUGGGCUGUAUCUGACACUCAGGGACGAAAGCUAGGGGAGCGAAAGGGAUUAGAUUCCCCUGUAGUCCUAGCCGUAAACGAUGGAUACUAGGCGUGGCUU
rnacentral:rRNA from 1 species